UAGGGAAUCUUCGGCAAUGGGGGCAACCCUGACCGAGCAACGCCGCGUGAGUGAAGAAGGUUUUCGGAUCGUAAAGCUCUGUUGUAAGAGAAGAACGUGUGUGAGAGUGGAAAGUUCACACAGUGACGGUAACUUACCAGAAAGGGACGGCUAACUACGUGCCAGCAGCCGCGGUAAUACGUAGGUCCCGAGCGUUGUCCGGAUUUAUUGGGCGUAAAGCGAGCGCAGGCGGUUUAAUAAGUCUGAAGUUAAAGGCAGUGGCUUAACCAUUGUUCGCUUUGGAAACUGUUAAACUUGAGUGCAGAAGGGGAGAAUGGAAUUCCAUGUGUAGCGGUGAAAUGCGUAGAUAUAUGGAGGGACACCGGUGGCGAAAGCGGCUCUCUGGUCUGUAACUGACGCUGAGGCUCGAAAGCGUGGGGAGCAAACAGG
rnacentral:rRNA from 1 species